rnacentral:rRNA from 1 species
AACGAACGCUGGCGGCGUGGAUUAGGCAUGCAAGUCGAACGCGAAAGAGGGGGAAACCCCUCGAGUAGAGUGGCGAACGGGUGAGUAACGCGUGAAGAACCUGCCUUCAACAGGGGGAUAACACUCCCAACGGGGUGCUAAUACCGCAUGAGACCACGGGUCUGCAUGGACCUGAGGUCAAAGGUGGCCUCUGCUUGCAAGCUACCGGUUGAAGAUGGCUUCGCGUCCCAUUAGCAGUUGGCGGUGUAACGGACCACCAAGGCGACGAUGGGUAGCUGGUCUGAGAGGAUGGUCAGCCACACUGGGACUGAGAUACGGCCCAGACUCCUACGGGAGGCAGCAGUCGAGAGGCUUCGGCAAUGGGGAAACCCUGACCGAGCGACGCCGCGUGGAGGAUGAAGGCCCUUGGGUUGUAAACUCCUUUUGUUGGGAAGAAAUGCGAUCAGGUGAACAAUCUGGUCG